AGUCCGUUGAAACCAUCGGCACGAUUACCUCGCUCAUGUUUGCCCUGGUUGAGACCACGUGUCCCAGAGGUGCCAGGAAUACUUUUGUCCCCUGCAUGCCUCGCUGUCCGGACAGAGCUCGUCACGCCAUUUGUCAAACUUGCACAGACAAGUGGGAAAACUUGAGUGUGAAUUAUAUCUCCCAAAAAAUCCAGGCCCCCAUCCGACUGAUGUGCCAGAGCCCGUGUGCAGGCUGUUGUUCCACCAAAGUCCGGAAGCUUGUGUUUGCAAGGCGCUGCUGAACAACCCCAAUCAGGCGAUCCACCACAUUUGUCCAUUCCCGCUUAAGUGAUGCCAUUGCUUGUCAACUUGAUUGUAAUAAAAACGAGUACUUAUCUGUGA